UGAGUAACACGUGAGCAACCUGCCUUUCAGUGGGGGACAACAUUUGGAAACGAAUGCUAAUACCGCAUAAGACCACAGUGUCGCAUGGCACAGGGGUCAAAGGAUUUAUCCGCUGAAAGAUGGGCUCGCGUCCGAUUAGCUAGAUGGUGAGGUAACGGCCCACCAUGGCGACGAUCGGUAGCCGGACUGAGAGGUUGAACGGCCACAUUGGGACUGAGACACGGCCCAGACUCCUACGGGAGGCAGCAUG
rnacentral:rRNA from 1 species